rnacentral:rRNA from 1 species
CCCUUAGAUGUCCUGGGCCGCACGCGCGCUACACUGAUGCAUGCAACGAGUUUAUAACCUUGGCCUGAAAGGUCUGGGUAAUCUUUUGAACGUGCAUCGUGAUAGGGAUAGAUUAUUGCAAUUGUUAAUCUUGAACGAGGAAUUCCUAGUAAACGCGAGUCAUCAGCUCGCAUUGAUUACGUCCCUGCCCUUUGUACACACCGCCCGUCGCACCUACCGAUUGAAUGGUUCGGUGAAGAUCUCGGACUUCGAUAUUUAUUCUUUAUUGAGUUUAUAUUGUGGGAAGUUAUCUAAACCUCAUCAUUUAGAGGAUGGUGAAGUCGUAACA